rnacentral:rRNA from 1 species
CGGGAAGAGCUCAAAUUUUAAAUCUGGCGGUUACGCCGUCCGAGUUGUAAUCUGGAGAAGCGUUUUCCGUGCUGGACCGUGUACAAGUCCCUUGGAACAGGGCGUCGUAGAGGGUGAGAAUCCCGUCUUUGACACGGACUGCCAGUGCUCUGUGAUGCGCUCUCGAA